rnacentral:rRNA from 1 species
UAAGGAAUAUUGGUCAAUGGACGGAAGUCUGAACCAGCCAUGCCGCGUGCAGGAAGACGGCCCUAUGGGUUGUAAACUGCUUUUGCAGGGGAAUAAACCUCAUUACGUGUAAUGAGUUGAAUGUACUCUGAGAAUAAGGAUCGGCUAACUCCGUGCCAGCAGCCGCGGUAAUACGGAGGAUCCGAGCGUUAUCCGGAUUUAUUGGGUUUAAAGGGUGCGUAGGUGGCCUGUUAAGUCAGGGGUGAAAGACGGUAGCUCAACUAUCGCAGUGCCCUUGAUACUGAUGGGCUUGAAUGAACUAGAGGUAGGCGGAAUGUGACAAGUAGCGGUGAAAUGCAUAGAUAUGUCACAGAACACCAAUUGCGAAGGCAGCUUACUAUGGUUUAAUUGACACUGAGGCACGAAAGCGUGGGGAUCAAACA